UACCGCAACCUCCUCCGCUCGCCUCUUUUCUUCCUCUCUUGUAGAUGCUUGCGCCUCCCCCACCGGCGACCGGCUGUGCCGCCAGCCAUGGCCACCGCGCCUCCCCCACCGUGGCUGCCCCCACCCCGCCCCCUCACGCCCCACCAGCGACCAGCGCUGCAAACCAACCCCCACCGGUGCUGCCGAUGGCGGCGAGAAGUAACGGAGAGCCGCGGCGGCCGAAGGUUGAGGCGUUGCAACCACGGCGACAAGUGAUGGAGAUCCAUCAUUUUCUUUUCUUGGAAGCAGCCCCAAUUUUUGCUGCAGACGCCCUUGAUUUUUGCUGGAACCAGUACAUGACGCUGCAAGUUGACAAUGGCGGCGAGCCGGAGACGGAGACGCCAGGGAUGCUCCAACCAUGAUGACAGCGCGCUGGAAUCCUCCUGUGUUUGAGUUGCAACCAUGACGAGCAGAGGCAGCCAAGGCAAGUGUUAGACACGACCGUCAGGCAAGCGGCAGGCGAGCGCGGGUGACGGGCGUGGUGGCGCGGUGGAAAGCAAGCACGGGAAGACGAGGACUAUCGCGAGCGGCCGGCGAGCACACAGAUCUGGCAUGCGCGCUCGCUGUCCUUUUUUUUGUGUUUCCUGUGCGUGUUUUUUUUUCUGCGUGUUUGACUUUUAAAACAAAGCAAUCAGACGGUGGGGAA